rnacentral:RNase_P_RNA from 1 species
UCCUCUAUUUUAGACAAUCGCGCAUACUUUGUAUUCUUACAGAGAAGUGAGGAAAGUCCGGACUCCAUGAGAGCGCGGAUGCCCGGAGAAAGUCCGGGGUAAAACUUACGUAAGUAUUUUUUACAGGAAGUGUUACAGAAAAGAAGACCGCCCUGAGUUUAUCUCAAGGUAAGGGUGAAACGGCAGGGUAAGAGCUGCCAUCCGGCGGGCAAUUGUCGGAUUGACAAACUCAUCCGGAGCAAGGCCAAGUAUAGGAAGCAUAAACAGCGCUCGUUUAAAUUGCUUCCGGGGUAGGCCGCAAAAAAUUAUUACAGUAAUGUUUUAAUUAAGAUAAAUGAUUGUCACUCGCCAGUGUGCGUUUACAGAAUCCGGCUUAUUAAAUAGGGGAGAUU